UUUUUGACGGUUGAGUAAUAUUCCAUUACACACACACACACACACACACACACACACACCAUAUCUUUAUCCAUUCAUCUGUCAAAAGACAUCUGGGCUUUUUCUGUAUUUCAGCUAUUGUGGACAUUGCUGCUAUGAACACUGGGGCACAGGUGCCCCUUCAGGUCAGUAUGUUUGUAUCCUUUGGGUAAAUACCUAAUAGUGCAAUUGCUGGGUCAUAGUUCUAUUUUUAACUUUUUGAGGAACCUCCAUACUGUUUUCCAGAGUGGCUGCAGCAGGUUGCGUUCCCACCAACAGUGCAAGAGGGUUCCCUUUUCUCCACAUCCUCGCCAACAUCUGUUGUUUGCUGAGUUGUUCAUUUUAGCCAUUCUGACCGGUGUGAGCUGGCAUCUCAUUGUGGUUUUGGUCUGUACUUCCCUGAUGCCGUGUGAUGCAACUCUGACUUAAUGAGAUGUUCCACAGUGCCCAUGGUGUCCCAUCACCCUCGGUGCAGCAAGUUCAUGAACGUGAAUUUGUUACGGCUGCAGGUGUGUUCCUGGUGGGCUUUACCAAAGGGCAGACAUUGGCAAACAUGGGAUUCUUCGCCUCACGGUGAUGCACUGCCACUUGACCCCAGAGAGAAAUGCCCUCCUGACCCCUGCUGGCUGUGAUGGCGCAUGCACCAGGCGGAGAGGACCAUUUCAGAGCUGAUGUCAGAACGACUCCUCACGCUCUCCGACGCCGAUUGGACAAGAAGGUUAAACAGAGGAAAGUUGACUCAGCUCUGAUUAAACAGUCUGGGAAGACAGAAACAAAUAAUCACCCUGUAUGUAGCAAUAAUGGAGCAACAAAGUAAAUAUUAAGGGAGCCGCUUGCUAUCAAUAUUUAACUAGCAGAUUAAUGUACAGAGGAUGCACUUGGGAGACUAUGAGGGUGACCAGAGAGGCAGAAAUGGCUCAAUUAUGAUACAUUGUCAUAGUCAGGGAAGAGGAAAGGCUUGUCUGUGUUGUUGAACCUGAGGUUAUGAACGCACAACAGAGGCAAUCAAGGGCGAUUAAGCAAGGUGAUGAUGAUGAGCGAUAAUGCCAGGCUCAUUAGCAUAAACAAUCUGUUGAAGGGAGGGAAUAGGGAACGAGUUGUAAAUUCUGUAAGUUCUUGCCUAAAAUUCCUAAACAUCUGGGCCCCAUCAUCAAUAAUUCUCUUGGCAUCUUUUGGUCCUUUAUCUGCUCAGUCAGACAAAAAGAUCUGAAGGACCACUUCAUUUUGAGGCAAUGUUUCCAACUAUGACGUGCCCU
rnacentral:lncRNA from 1 species